GCCUACGGCCAAACCACCUUGAAAGCAAUAGAUAUGGGAAGCCAAGCAGAGCUGGGCCUGGUUAGUACUUGGAUGAGAGACCGGCUGGGGAUACCGGGUGGUGUAGGCU
ensembl:rRNA 5S_rRNA 5S ribosomal RNA